rnacentral:rRNA from 1 species
GACGAACGCUGGCGGCGUGCCUAAUACAUGCAAGUCGAACGAGAGCGACCGGUGCUUGCACUGGUCAAUCUAGUGGCGAACCGGUGAGUAACACGUGGGUAACCUGCCCAUCAGAGGGGGAUAACAUCCGGAAACGGAUGCUAAAACCGCAUAGGUCUUCGAACCGCAUGGUUUGAAGAGGAAAAGAGGCGCAAGCUUCUGCUGAUGGAUGGACCCGCGGUGCAUUAGCUAGUUGGUGAGGUAACGGCUCACCAAGGCCGUGAUGCAUAGCCGACCUGAGAGGGUGAUCGGCCACAUUGGGACUGAGACACGGCCCAAACUCCUACGGGAGGCAGCAGUAGGGAAUCUUCCGCAAUGGACGCAAGUCUGACGGAGCAACGCCGCGUGAGUGAAGAAGGUUUUCGGAUCGUAAAACUCUGUUGUUAGAGAAGAACAAGUGCUAGAGUAACUGUUAGCGCCUUGACGGUAGCUAACCAGAAAGCCACGGCUAACUACGUG